rnacentral:rRNA from 1 species
GUUAGCGGCGGACGGGUGAGUAACACGUGGGUAACCUGCCUUAUAGAUUGGGAUAACUCCGGGAAACCGGGGCUAAUACCGAAUAAUACUUUUAAACACAUGUUUGAAAGUUGAAAGACGGUUUCGGCUGUCACUAUAAGAUGGACCCGCGGCGCAUUAGGUAGUUGGUGUGGUAAUGGCGCACCAAGCCGACGAUCCUUAGCUGGUCUGAGAGGAUGAUCAGCCACACUGGGACUGAGACACGGCCCAGACUCCUACGGGAGGCAGCAGUAGGGAAUAUUGGACAAUGGGCGAAAGCCUGAUCCAGCAAUGCCGCGUGAGUGAUGAAGGCCUUAGGGUUGUAAAGCUCUUUUACCAGGGAUGAUAAUGACAGUACCUGGAGAAUAAGCUCCGGCUAACUCCGUGCCAGCAGCCGCGGUAAUACGGAGGGAGCUAGCGUUGUUCGGAAUUACUGGGCGUAAAGCGCGCGUAGGCGG